rnacentral:rRNA from 1 species
UACAGAGGUCCCAAGCGUUGUUCGGAUUCACUGGGCGUAAAGGGUGCGUAGGCGGUCGGGUAAGUCUGAUGUGAAAUCUCACAGCUUAACUGUGAAACUGCAUUGGAUACUAUCCGGCUCGAGGAAUGGAGGGGAGACUGGAAUACUUGGUGUAGCAGUGAAAUGCGUAGAUAUCAAGAGGAACACCAGUGGCGAAGGCGAGUCCCUGGACAACUUCUGACGCUGAGGCACGAAAGCUAGGGGAGCAAACAGG